rnacentral:rRNA from 1 species
GACGAACGCUGGCGGCGUGCUUAACACAUGCAAGUCGAACGAUGAACCCGAAGCUUGCUCCGGUGGAUUAAUGGCGAACGGGUGAGUAACACGUGAGUAACCUGCCCUUGACUCUGGGAUAACUGCGGGAAACUGUAGCUAAUACCGGAUACGACCCUCGGCGGCAUCGCCAGGGGGUGGAAAGAAUUUCGGUCAAGGAUGGACUCGCGGCCUAUCAGCUAGUUGGGGAGGUAACGGCUCACCAAGGCGACGACGGGUAGCCGACCUGAGAGGGUGACCGGCCACGCUGGGACUGUGACACGGCGCAGACUCCGACGGGAGGCAGCAGGGAAGAGGAUUGCACAAUGGGGGCAAGACUGGUGCAGCGAGGCCGCGUGAGGGAGGACGGCCUUCGGGUUGGAAACCUCUUUUAGUAGGGAAGAAGCGAAAGUGACGGUACCUGCAGAAAAAGCACCGGCUAACUACGUGCCAGCCGCCGCGGUAA